AUUGAACGCUGGCGGCAGGCCUAACACAUGCAAGUCGAGCGGGGUUUUCGGACCUAGCGGCGGACGGGUGAGUAAUGCGUAGGAAGCUACCCGAUAGAGGGGGAUACCAGUUGGAAACGACUGUUAAUACCGCAUAAUGUCUACGGACCAAAGUGUGGGACCUUCGGGCCACAUGCUAUCGGAUGCGCCUACGUGGGAUUAGCUAGUUGGUGAGGUAAUGGCUCACCAAGGCGACGAUCCCUAGCUGGUUUGAGAGGAUGAUCAGCCACACUGGAACUGAGACACGGUCCAGACUCCUACGGGAGGCAGCAGUGGGGAAUAGUGGACAAUGGGCGCAAGCCUGAUCCAGCCAUGCCGCGUGUGUGAAGAAGGCCUUCGGGUUGUAAAGCACUUUCAGUAAGGAGGAAGAGUUGAGUGUUAAUAGUACUCAGCUUUGACGUUACUUACAGAAGAAGCACCGGCUAACUCUGUGCCAGCAGCCGCUGUAACAC
rnacentral:rRNA from 1 species